rnacentral:rRNA from 1 species
UGGGGAAUAUUGGACAAUGGGCGAAAGCCUGAUCCAGCCAUGCCGCGUGAGUGACGAAGGCCUUAGGGUUGUAAAACUCUUUCGUCGGGGACGAUAAUGACGGUACCCGAAGAAGAAGCUCCGGCUAACUUCGUGCCAGCAGCCGCGGUAAUACGAAGGGAGCUAGCGUUGUUCGGAAUCACUGGGCGUAAAGCGCACGUAGGCGGAUAGUUAAGUCAGGGGUGAAAUCCUGGGGCUCAACCCCAGAACUGCCUUUGAUACUGGCUGCCUCGAGGUCGAGAGAGGUUGGUGGAAUUCCUAGUGUAGAGGUGAAAUUCGUAGAUAUUAGGAAGAACACCAGUGGCGAAGGCGACUAACUGGUCCGGUACUGACGCUGAGGUGCGAAAGCGUGGGGAGCAAACAGGAUUAGAUACCCGCGUAGUCCCUGAGCGGGCUGGCAAGGCGCAU